GGCUACGCUCGUCGCAUCGCCGAUUGCAUGUGUAGUCGUGCGGACAGAAGGGAGCUUGCUCCCGGAUGUUAGCGGCGGACGGGUGAGUAACACGUGGGUAACCUGCCUGUAAGACUGGGAUAACUCCGGGAAACCGGAGCUAAUACCGGAUAGUUCCUUGAACCGCAUGGUUCAAGGAUGAAAGACGGUUUCGGCUGUCACUUACAGAUGGACCCGCGGCGCAUUAGCUAGUUGGUGAGGUAACGGCUCACCAAGGCGACGAUGCGUAGCCGACCUGAGAGGGUGAUCGGCCACACUGGGACUGAGACACGGCCCAGACUCCUACGGGAGGCAGCAGUAGGGAAUCUUCCGCAAUGGACGAAAGUCUGACGGAGCAACGCCGCGUGAGUGAUGCACGUCUUCGGAUCGUAAAGCUCUGUUGUUAGGGGAAGAACAAGUGCAAGAGUAACUGCUUGCACCUUGACGGUACCUAACCAGAAAGCCACGGCUAACUACGUGCCAGCAGCCGCGGUAAUACGUAGGGGCAGCGUUGUCGAAUUAUUGGGCGGAAGGGUCGAGGCUUUUCUUAAUCUGAUGUAAGCCCCGGCUCACGGGAGGUCAUGGAACUGGAAUUGAGCAAAAGAGAGGAAUCCCGGAAAU
rnacentral:rRNA from 1 species